ensembl:misc_RNA Metazoa_SRP Metazoan signal recognition particle RNA
GCUGGGCAUGGUGGCUCAUGCCUGUAAUUCCAGCACUUUGGGAAGCUGAGGUGGGUGGAUCACCUGAGGCCAGGAGUUUAAGACCAGCCUGGCCAACAUGGUGAAACCCCAUCUCUA